rnacentral:misc_RNA from 1 species
CUGGGCGACUCCGGCGUGCAGGGAGUAUCGCGAGCUGGAACCAGGGUGCGGCGUGUCUUCCAUGGCCGAGCAGAGUGGUGGACUGAGGGGGACGCGGCCAAGCGGAGCAGGGGCAACGCCAGCGAGCUCGCGCGUAGGGAAAACCAGGGAGCAGAGGCACGACAAUCCUGGCUAAGCAGAGGGGACGCCGCGAGCUGGAGCUGUAGUCAGGCGCUGGGCAGGGACCGAGCAGGGAGCACCAGGGAACAGCGGCAUCAGGCAUAG